GACGGGUGAGUAACGCGUGGGUAACCUGCCUUAUACAGGGGGAUAACAGUUAGAAAUGACUGCUAAUACCGCAUAAGCGCACAGGAUUGCAUGAUCCGGUGUGAAAAACUCCGGUGGUAUAAGAUGGACCCGCGUCUGAUUAGCUUGUUGGUGAGGUAACGGCCCACCAAGGCGACGAUCAGUAGCCGACCUGAGAGGGUGACCGGCCACAUUGGGACUGAGACACGGCCCAGACUCCUACGGGAGGCAGCAUG
rnacentral:rRNA from 1 species